rnacentral:rRNA from 1 species
AAAUGAAUUGACGGGGGCCCGCACAAGCGGCGGAGCAUGCGGAUUAAUUCGAUGCAACGCGAAGAACCUUACCAAGGCUUGACAUACACCGGAAGCAUGCAGAGAUGUGUGUGCCCUUGUGGCUGGUGUACAGGUGGUGCAUGGUUGUCGUCAGCUCGUGUCGUGAGAUGUUGGGUUAAGUCCCGCAACGAGCGCAACCCUUGUCUCGUGUUGCCAGCAAUUCGGUUGGGGACUCACGAGAGACUGCCGGGGUUAACUCGGAGGAAGGUGGGGAUGACGUCAAAUCAUCAUGCCCCUUAUGUCUUGGGCUUCACGCAUGCUACAAUGGCCGGUACAGAGUGUUGCGAUACUGUGAGGUGGAGCGAAUCACUUAAAGCCGGUCUCAGUUCGGAUUGGGGUCUGCAACUCGGCCCCAUGAAGUCGGAGUCGCUAGUAAUCGCAGAUCAGCAACGCUGCGGUGAAUACGUUCUCGGGCCUUGUACACACCGCCCGU